rnacentral:lncRNA from 1 species
UAGCUCAUGAAAGAGCCAAGCUCACUAUGAGCUGAGCUGAGUUGAGCGAGCUAGCUCAUUUUGACACCCCUAGUUACGCAGAUGUGGUCAAGCUGCAGACGAGGCUGUUAGACCGAGGACAUAAGCUGAUUACAACAAGCCAAAUCAUUACUACGAGAACAGAUCUGCCAUUCUCCGCCAACCAUUCAGAGCGAAGACUUUGAAUUGAAGUCUCAGUACUUUACACUC